rnacentral:rRNA from 1 species
UACGAAGGGGGCUAGCGUUGCUCGGAAUUACUGGGCGUAAAGGGCGCGUAGGCGGAUAUCUAAGUCGGGGGUGAAAGCCCAGGGCUCAACCCUGGAAUUGCCUUCGAUACUGGAUAUCUUGAGUACGGGAGAGGUGAGUGGAACUCCGAGUGUAGAGGUGAAAUUCGUAGAUAUUCGGAAGAACACCAGUGGCGAAGGCGACUCACUGGCCCGUUACUGACGCUGAGGCGCGAAAGCGUGGGGAGCGAACAGG